UACGGAGGGGGCUAGCGUUGUUCGGAAUUACUGGGCGUAAAGCGCACGUAGGCGGACAUUUAAGUCAGGGGUGAAAUCCCGGGGCUCAACCCCGGAACGGCCUUUGAUACUGGGUGUCUUGAGUGUGGAAGAGGUGAGUGGAAUUCCGAGUGUAGAGGUGAAAUUCGUAGAUAUUCGGAGGAACACCAGUGGCGAAGGCGGCUCACUGGUCCACAACUGACGCUGAGGUGCGAAAGCGUGGGGAGCAAACAGG
rnacentral:rRNA from 1 species